ensembl:ncRNA F55G1.20 ncRNA
GUUAAAAAGUGCAAAACUCGGAAAUCCAAAAGGAGCGGUCAAAGUAGUUUCAAGGUCAAGAUGAGGUUGGAACCGAGGUUCCUAAAGAAAACACACACACACACACAUUGGAGACCAUGAAACUCGGACCGAGCCCAAAUGUUUAAACAUAAACUAACCCUAUAUACACUUGCAUAGGAAAGUGCCCGACAUUUUCCGAGUUUGGCCUUCUACUAUAUAUUGUGU